UGAAUGAUAGAAUUUCAGCUCAAUCAUGAUUCACAUUAAUUUCACACAAACAACACUGAGUUGGGUAAAAUAUUGGAUGGAUUAAAGCUGCUCAAGGUACACAGAGAUCCCUAAAACUACAAGAAAAAUAGAAUCAUAUGAAAAGAUUCACUCCUU